rnacentral:rRNA from 1 species
UACGUAGGGGGCUAGCGUUGUCCGGAAUCAUUGGGCGUAAAGCGCACGUAGGCGGCUUUGUAAGUUAGAGGUGAAAGCCUGGAGCUCAACUCCAGAACUGCCUUUAAGACUGCAUCGCUUGAAUCCUGGAGAGGUGAGUGGAAUUCCGAGUGUAGAGGUGAAAUUCGUAGAUAUUCGGAAGAACACCAGUGGCGAAGGCGGCUCACUGGACAGGUAUUGACGCUGAGGUGCGAAAGCGUGGGGAGCAAACAGG